GAUGAACGCUAGCGGCAGGCUUAACACAUGCAAGUCGAGGGGCAGCACGGGUAGCAAUACCUGGUGGCGACCGGCGCAAGGGUGCGUAACGCGUGAGCAACAUGCCCUAUACAGGGGGAUAAUCCAGGGAAACUUGGUCUAAUAUCCCAUAGCAUUUAGAGGAGGCAUCUUCACUAAAUUAAAGCUUCGGUGGUAUAGGAUUGGCUCGCGUGACAUUAGCUAGAUGGUGAGGUAACGGCCCACCAUGGCUAUGAUGUCUAGGGGUUCUGAGAGGAAGACCCCCCACACUGGGACUGAGACACGGCCCAGACUCCUACGGGAGGCAGCAGUGAGGAAUAUUGGACAAUGGAUGGAAAUCUGAUCCAGCCAUGCCGCGUGCAGGAAGACGGCCCUAUGGGUUGUAAACUGCUUUUAUAUGGGAGCAAUAAGGUUUACGAGUAGACCGAUGAGAGUACCAUAUGAAUAAGCAUCGGCUAACUCCGUG
rnacentral:rRNA from 1 species